GAGUUCUAUGAAGUUUUCGGACGGAUUAAAACUUAGUGGCGGACGGGUGAGUAACGCGUGGGUAACCUGCCUCAUACAGGGGGAUAACAGUUGGAAACGGCUGCUAAAACCGCAUAAGCAUACAUUGUCGCAUGGCAGAGUGUGAAAAUAUUGAUAGGUAUGAGAUGGGCCCGCGUCUGAUUAGCUAGUUGGUAAGGUAACGGCUUACCAAGGCGACGAUCAGUAGCCGGCUUGAGAGAGUGACCGGCCACAUUGGGACUGAGACACGGCCCGAACUCCUACGGGAGGCAGCAGUGGGGAAUAUUGCACAAUGGGGGAAACCCUGAUGCAGCGACGCCGCGUGAGUGAAGAAGUAUUUCGGUAUGUAAAGCUCUAUCAGCAGGGAAGAUAAUGACGGUACCUGACUAAGAAGCCCCGGCUAACUACGUGCCAGCAGCCGCGGUAAUACGUAGGGGGCAAGCGUUAUCCGGAUUUACUGGGUGUAAAGGGAGCGUAGGUGGUUCGGUAAGUCAGAUGUGAAAGCCCGGGGCUCAACCCCGGGACUGCAUUUGAAACUAUCGAACUAGAGUGCAGGAGAGGUAAGUGGAAUUCCUAGUGUAGCGGUGAAAUGCGUAGAUAUUAGGAGGAACACCAGUGGCGAAGGCGGCUUACUGGACUGUAACUGACACUGAGGCUCGAAAGCGUGGGGAGCAAACAGGAUUAGAUACCCUGGUAGUCCACGCUGUAAACGAUGAAUACUAGGUGUCGGGGCCCUUCCGGGCUUCGGUGCCGCAGCUAACGCAAUAAGUAUUCCACCUGGGG
rnacentral:rRNA from 1 species